UACGUAGGGGGCAAGCGUUGUCCGGAAUCAUUGGGCGUAAAGCGCGCGUAGGCGGCCCGGUAAGUCCGCUGUAAAAGUCCAGGGCUCAACCCUGGAAAGCCGGUGGAUACUGUCGGGCUAGAGUCCGGAAGAGGCGAGUGGAAUUCCUGGUGUAGCGGUGGAAUGCGCAGAUAUCAGGAGGAACACCGAUGGCGAAAGCGGCUCACUGGAUCGAUACUGACGCUGAGGUGCGAAAGCUAGGGUAGCAAACGGG
rnacentral:rRNA from 1 species